rnacentral:misc_RNA from 1 species
CCAAUAGCGUAUAUUAAAGUUGUUGCAGUUAAAAAGCUCGUAGUUGAAUUUCGGGGUUAGUAAGUUGGUCGUGCCACUGGUAUGUACUGGAUUUACUGAUUCCUCCUUCUUGUAGAACCGUAAUGCCAUUAAGUUGGUGUUGCGGGGAAACAGGACUGUUACUUUGAAAAAAUUAGAGUGGUUAAAGCAAGCUAACGCUUGAAUACAUUAGCAUGGAAUAAUGAAAUAGGACAUUCGAUCCUAUUUUGUUGGUUUCUAGGAUUGACGUAAUGAUUAAUAGGGAUAGUUGGGGGCAUUAGUAUUCAAUUGUCAGAGGUGAAAUUCUUGGAUUUAUUGAAGACUAACUACUGCGAAAGCAUUUGCCAAGGAUGUUUUCAUUAAUCAAGAACGAAAGUUAGGGGAUCGAAGACGAUCAGAUACCGUCGUAGUCUUAACCAUAAACUAUGCCGACUAGGGAUCGGAUGAUGUUAAUUUUUUAAUGACUCAUUCGGCGCCUUACA